rnacentral:rRNA from 1 species
UACGGAGGUGCAAGGCGUUAGUCCGGAUUCACUGGGUUAAAGGGUGCGUAGGUGGGUUGGUAAGUCAGUGGUGAAAUCUCCGAGCUUAACUUGGAAACUGCCGUUGAUACUAUCAAUCUUGAAUAUCGCGUAGGUAAGCGGAAUAUGUCAUGUAGCGGAUGAAUGCUUAGAUAUGACAUAGAACACCAAAGUUGCGAAGGCAGCUUACUUCACGAUCAUUGACACUGAGGCACGAAAGCGUGGGGAGCAAACAGG